rnacentral:rRNA from 1 species
UUUGGCGGNUAGCGCGGUGGUCCCACCUGACCCCAUGCCGAACUCAGAAGUGAAACGCCGUAGCGCCGAUGGUAGUGUGGGGUCUCCCCAUGCGAGAGUAGGGAACUGCCAGGC